AACGAACGCUGGCGGCAUGCCUAACACAUGCAAGUCGAACGAGACCUUCGGGUCUAGUGGCGCACGGGUGCGUAACGCGUGGGAAUCUGCCCUUGGGUUCAGGAUAACAGUUGGAAACGACUGCUAAUACCGGAUGAUGUCUUCGGACCAAAGAUUUAUCGCCCAAGGAUGAGCCCGCGUAGGAUUAGCUUGUUGGUGAGGUAAGAGCUCACCAAGGCGACGAUCCUUAGCUGGUCUGAGAGGAUGAUCAGCCACACUGGGACUGAGACACGGCCCAGACUCCUACGGGAGGCAGCAGUGGGGAAUAUUGGACAAUGGGCGAAAGCCUGAUCCGGCAAUGCCGCGUGAGUGAUGAAGGCCUUAGGGUUGUAAAGCUCUUUUACCCGGGAUGAUAAUGACAGUACCGGGAGAAUAAGCCCCGGCUAACUCCGUGCCAGCCGCCGCAGUAA
rnacentral:rRNA from 1 species